rnacentral:rRNA from 1 species
CCUACGGGAGGCAGCAGUGAGGAAUAUUGGUCAAUGGACGAGAGUCUGAACCAGCCAAGUAGCGUGAAGGAUUGCUGCCCUAUGGGUUGUAAACUUCUUUUAUAUGGGAGUAAAACAGGGUAUGCAUACCCUCUUGUAUGUACCAUAUGAAUUAGGAUCGGCUAACUCCGUGCCAGCAGCCGCGGUAAUACGGAGGAUCCGAGCGUUAUCCGGAUGUAUUGGGUGUAAGGGGGGCGUAGGUGGAUUGGUAAGUCAGUUGUGAAAGGUUGCGGCUCAACCGUAAGAUGGCAGUUGAAACUGGCAGUCUUGAGUACAGGAGAGGUAGGCGGAAUUCGCGGUGUAGCGGUGAAAUGCUUAGAUAUCACGCAGAACUCUGAUUGCGAAGGCAGCUUACUAAACUAUAACUGACACUGAAGCACGAAGGCGUGGGGAUCAAACAGGAUUAGAUACCCCGGUAGUC